rnacentral:rRNA from 1 species
AGAGUUUGAUCUGGGCUCAGGAUGAACGCUAGCGACAGGCUUAACACAUGCAAGUCGAGGGGCAGCGGUGGUGAAGGCUUGCCUUUACCAGCCGGCGACCGGCGCACGGGUGAGUAACACGUAUGCAACCUGCCUACCACAGCCGGAUAAUCGGGAGAAAUCCCGUCUAAUACGGCAUAAUGCACCUAUGGGACAUCCUGUUGGUGCCAAAGGUUAAUUCCGGUGGCGGAUGGGCAUGCGUCGCAUUAGUUAGUUGGCGGUGUAACGGACCACCAAGACGACGAUGCGUAGGGGUUCUGAGAGGAAGGUCCCCCACACUGGUACUGAGACACGGACCAGACUCCUACGGGAGGCAGCAGUGAGGAAUAUUGGUCAAUGGGCGGGAGCCUGAACCAGCCAAGUCGCGUGAGGGAUGACGGCCCUAUGGGUUGUAAACCUCUUUUGCCGGGGAGCAAAGUGCCGCACGUGUGCGGUUUGGAGAGUACCCGGAGAAAAAGCAUCGGCUAACUCCGUGCCAGCAGCCGCGGUAAUACGGAGGAUGCGAGCGUUAUCCGGAUUUAUUGGGUUUAAAGGGUGCGUAGGCGGACGCUUAAGUCAGCGGUAAAAUUGCGGGGCUCAACCUCGUCGAGCCGUUGAAACUGGGUGCCUUGAGUGGGCGAGAAGUACGCGGAAUGCGUGGUGUAGCGGUGAAAUGCAUAGAUAUCACGCAGAACUCCGAUUGCGAAGGCAGCGUACCGGCGCCCAACUGACGCUGAAGCACGAAGGUGUGGGUAUCGAACAGGAUUAGAUACCCUGGUAGUCCACGCAGUAAACGAUGAAUGC